AGGGUUCGAUUCUGGCUCAGGACGAACGCUGGCGGCGUGCUUAACACAUGCAAGUCGAGCGGUAAGGCCCUUCGGGGUACACGAGCGGCGAACGGGUGAGUAACACGUGAGCAACCUGCCCCUGACUCUGGGAUAAGCGGUGGAAACGCCGUCUAAUACCGGAUACGACCUUCCACCUCAUGGUGGAGGGUGGAAAGUUUUUUCGGUCAGGGAUGGGCUCGCGGCCUAUCAGCUUGUUGGUGGGGUAACGGCCUACCAAGGCGAUUACGGGUAGCCGGCCUGAGAGGGCGACCGGCCACACUGGGACUGAGACACGGCCCAGACUCCUGCGGGAGGCAGCAGUGGGGAAUAUUGCGCAAUGGGCGAAAGCCUGACGCAGCGACGCCGCGUGGGGGAUGACGGCCUUCGGGUUGUAAACCUCUUUUACCACCAACGCAGGCUCCGGGUUCUCUCGGGGUUGACGGUAGGUGGGGAAUAAGGACCGGCUAACUACGUGCCAGCCGCGGC
rnacentral:rRNA from 1 species